CUAUAGAAAAUGAGUCAUUGUGGGCGGCCUUUGAGGUUUCAAAAGGCUUGAGCCAUUCCCGGUUUGCUCUCUCUGCUUCCCGUUUGUACAUUGAGUUGUGAGUCCUUAGCUCUCAGCUCCAGCUCCAGUUGCCAAGCCUGCCUGCUGUCACACUUGCCUGCCGUGAUGGUGGCACACUCUUAUCCCUCUGGAGCUGUAAACCCAAAGAAGCCCUUCCUUCUCUAAGUGGCCUUGGUCAUGGUGUUUUAUCAGAGCAAUGGAAAAGCAACUGACAUAGGCUUUCUGAGAAACAUCUGGAAGGAGAGAGGACAGCAGGGCAAAGCAGGCUCAGCCAAGUCCUCAGAUUGCCUGGGCACCCUAUCCAGGACAGCCUUGAAGAGCUGACCCAAGCAUGCGUACUGCCACUAGAAGGAGCUGUAACCCUUGGACUACACCUUUCUUCAGCAGCAGCAGCUCCUGGAAAGAUCCCUGGACAGUCAACACACAGUUUGUGCCAUCUCCUUUAAAGAAACUUGAAAACGUUAUAUUCCUUCCUGCAGCAAGAUCAAGAACAUCCUCAGGAGAAGGUGAUGUGUUCUUACAUGACAGCCACAGCCUCUCGGCAGUCACUACUGAAGCCUCUGCAGCAAGGCAUAUUUUUCUGUGACAGGAAGAACUGUUUUAGGGUCUUUGGGGGUUUUCCAGCUGUGCCUGCCUGUCCUUUUACCACUUCUGGUUUUGUUCCAUUUGACAGCCCUGAGCACUGUGCCUCAAGCCCACAACUCUGUCACUGCCGUCUGUCCUGGGUCUCUCGUUGGUUCUCAACUUGGUCUGCAUCCUCUUUAUGCCUUUGUAACUUUCCUUCCCUGAGGGAGGCCUUUGGCGCUAUGCUGUAACAGCUACCCAGUAAUUCCCACCAACUGUUUGCCCAUGCAGGUUUCUCCACCUGAUACUCUCCCUGAUACUUCUGCACAUUUUUACUGGGGAUAACUAUGUUUUUCAAUUUAAAUAUUUUUCUCAUCACAUAUUGUCUUUCAUAGACUUACAUUUCUCUGACAUUUUCCUGAGAUUCCAAAUCUGGAUUUUUGAAUGAUUUCUCCUUUUUCUUGGAGUCAGUCCAUUUCCUGGAGGAACACUGGCCUUUAUUACAAAUGAAAACCGAUAUGGUGGAUUUGUUGUCCUUUUUCAGUCUUGUCUGGUUUUUAUAGUAUUGGGGUUUUUUAAACUUUGCCUAUACAUCUUUAGAGGAGGCCCAUGUAACCCUGGAAGGGGCCUUCAUGGGAAGCUGGCUCCAAGGCAGCCUUCCCUGCAAAGAUGGAAGAGUGGAGAGGUCAGAAUUCAUGGCACUCUGCUUUCCAGGCAACCUUCUGGGAAGGCCUGGGCAGUAGGAGUGGGCAGGAGUGGGAUGCAGAGUGACAGGACCCAUGCUGAGUGGCUUGUGUCCUGCAUGUGCUAAGCUGAACAGACUGCCUGCAGGGGCCACCCAACCUGUCAUACUUGGAUGUCUGCUGCCAGAGGAAUGACACCCUGAACUCUACCUCUAGAGCUAUUUGCUCCCCCAACCCUGCCCCAUGUAACUCAUGCUUUCUUUGUGGCUUUUUCACUGUGUUGUAUAAUUCAGGUUCUCCUGCCUCAUCUUUGUGGACACAGAGCAGACGUCUCCUAAGGCAUGCUUCUGCUUCCUGUAGAAAGCUGUUUUAGUGAUCUGCUCUUUGUCCGCGUCCUCCAGCUCACUUUGUUUUCUGGAGCUUCGGAAUGAUCCCAAGACAGCUUCGUUUUAAUCUUUGCUCUUCUUAGAAAACAGAAAGCUGUGUCUCCAAGCUUGGCAUCUGCAGACAAGCACAGGAAGUAGAUUGUCUUGGGUCACUCUUCACUCUCCCAGCGGGAGGUCAGCAGCCCCUUCCAUCCACUGUCCAGAGGAUUAAUAGAACCCUUGGCCCCAUGUUCUUCGAGCAGUCUCCCAGGUAGAACUGGUCAUGGAUCUCAG
ensembl:lncRNA